GCACUGCUGAUGAGUUUCACAAUAGGACGAAACGGUUGUCCAGUGC
rfam:Schistosoma rodhaini strain Burundi genome assembly, scaffold: SROB_scaffold0003927